GACGAACGCUGGCGGCGUGCUUAACACAUGCCAGUCGAACGGUGAGCCUCUUCGGAGGGGAUCAGUGGCGAACGGGUGAGUAACACGUGGGCAACCUGCCCCCGGCUCUGGGAUAACUCCAAGAAAUUGGGGCUAAUACCGGAUGUUCACCGCUUCCCGCAUGGGUGGUGGUGGAAAGGGUUUCCGGCUGGGGAUGGGCCCGCGGCCUAUCAGCUUGUUGGUGGGGUAGUGGCCUACCAAGGCGGCGACGGGUAGCCGGCCUGAGAGGGUGACCGGCCACACUGGGACUGAGACACGGCCCAGACUCCUACGGGAGGCAGCAGUGGGGAAUAUUGCGCAAUGGGCGGAAGCCUGACGCAGCGACGCCGCGUGGGGGAUGACGGCCUUCGGGUUGUAAACCUCUUUCGGCAGGGACGAAGCGCAAGUGACGGUACCUGCAGAAGAAGCACCGGCCAACUACGUG
rnacentral:rRNA from 1 species